GGUUGUAUAGUGUAGCGGUUAUCACAUCGGAUUCUGAUUGCCACGCGCAUGAGAAGAUGUUCCGGGAACCCCGGUUCGAUUCCGGGUACGACCU
rfam:Sphaerulina musiva SO2202 unplaced genomic scaffold SEPMTscaffold_10, whole genome shotgun sequence.